rnacentral:lncRNA from 1 species
AUUUGAGCUACUGCACUCAAUAGGUAUUUGGCUAGUAUACUAAUAGCUACUGCAGCAACUCGUUUAAAAGGGAGCAGAUCAUCUAAACAUGACUGCAGUAAUUAGACCCUGAGUUACAAACAUAAACCAAGAAGAAACAUGCUUGUCCUUUAAUGCCGACAAGUUUCCAUGCAGAAGUCAACUUAUAAUCUAAGCGGAC